UGCCAGCAGCCGCGGUAAUACGGAGGGUGCAAGCGUUGUUCGGAAUUAUUGGGCGUAAAGCGGGUGUAGGCGGUUGGAUAAGUCGGAUGUGAAAUCCCUGGGCCCAACCCAGGAACUGCAUCCGAAACUAUUCGGCUAGAGUCUCGGAGAGGGUGGCGGAAUUCCCGGUGUAGAGGUGAAAUUCGUAGAGAUCGGGAGGAACACCAGUGGCGAAGGCGGCCACCUGGACGAUGACUGACGCUCAGACCCGAAAGCGUGGGGAGCAAACAGGAUUAGAUA
rnacentral:rRNA from 1 species